ncrna:unclassified sequences Type-P5 twister ribozyme ribozyme sequence
CGCAGAGUGAUUGCGACCGACACAAAUGUCGGUUGCAAGUAAUGCGACUGAUAAGCGGUCACAAGUCCGC